rnacentral:rRNA from 1 species
AUUGAACGCUGGCGGCAGGCCUAACACAUGCAAGUCGAACGAGUGGCGGACGGGUGAGUAAUGUCUGGGAAACUGCCUGAUGGAGGGGGAUAAAUACUGGAAACGGUAGCUAAUACCGCAUACCAUCGGAUGUGCCCAUAUGGGAUUAGCUAGUAGGCUGGGUAACGGCUCACAUAGGCGACGAUCCCUAGCUGGUCUGAGAGGAUGACCGGCCACACUGGAACUGAGACACGGUCCAGACUCCUACGUGAGGCAGCAGUGGGGAAUAUUCCACAAUGGGCGCAAGCCUGAUGAAGCCAUGCCGCGUGUAUGAAGAAGGGCUUCGGGUUGUAAAGUACUGUCAGCGGGGAGGCGUUACCCGCAGAAGAAGCACCGGCUAACUCCGUGCCAGCAGCCGCGGUAAUUC